AGCGUACACGGUGGAUGCCCUGGCAGUCAGAGGCGAUGAAGGACGUGCUAAUCUGCGAUAAGCGUCGGUAAGGUGAUAUGAACCGUUAUAACCGGCGAUUUCCGAAUGGGGAAACCCAGUGUGUUUCGACACACUAUCAUUAACUGAAUCCAUAGGUUAAUGAGGCGAACCGGGGGAACUGAAACAUCUAAGUACCCCGAGGAAAAGAAAUCAACCGAGAUUCCCCCAGUAGCGGCGAGCGAACGGGGAGCAGCCCAGAGCCUGAAUCAGUGUGUGUGUUAGUGGAAGCGUCUGGAAAGGCGCGCGAUACAGGGUGACAGCCCCGUACACAAAAAUGCACAUACUGUGAGCUCGAUGAGUAGGGCGGGACACGUGGUAUCCUGUCUGAAUAUGGGGGGACCAUCCUCCAAGGCUAAAUACUCCUGACUGACCGAUAGUGAACCAGUACCGUGAGGGAAAGGCGAAAAGAACCCCGGCGAGGGGAGUGAAAAAGAACCUGAAACCGUGUACGUACAAGCAGUGGGAGCCUCUUAAUGGGGUGACUGCGUACCUUUUGUAUAAUGGGUCAGCGACUUAUAUUCUGUAGCAAGGUUAACCGAAUAGGGGAGCCGAAGGGAAACCGAGUCUUAACUGGGCGUUAAGUUGCAGGGUAUAGACCCGAAACCCGGUGAUCUAGCCAUGGGCAGGUUGAAGGUUGGGUAACACUAACUGGAGGACCGAACCGACUAAUGUUGAAAAAUUAGCGGAUGACUUGUGGCUGGGGGUGAAAGGCCAAUCAAACCGGGAGAUAGCUGGUUCUCCCCGAAAGCUAUUUAGGUAGCGCCUCGUGAAUUCAUCUCCGGGGGUAGAGCACUGUUUCGGCAAGGGGGUCAUCCCGACUUACCAACCCGAUGCAAACUGCGAAUACCGGAGAAUGUUAUCACGGGAGACACACGGCGGGUGCUAACGUCCGUCGUGAAGAGGGAAACAACCCAGACCGCCAGCUAAGGUCCCAAAGUCAUGGUUAAGUGGGAAACGAUGUGGGAAGGCCCAGACAGCCAGGAUGUUGGCUUAGAAGCAGCCAUCAUUUAAAGAAAGCGUAAUAGCUCACUGGUCGAGUCGGCCUGCGCGGAAGAUGUAACGGGGCUAAACCAUGCACCGAAGCUGCGGCAGCGACACUAUGUGUUGUUGGGUAGGGGAGCGUUCUGUAAGCCUGUGAAGGUGUACUGUGAGGUAUGCUGGAGGUAUCAGAAGUGCGAAUGCUGACAUAAGUAACGAUAAAGCGGGUGAAAAGCCCGCUCGCCGGAAGACCAAGGGUUCCUGUCCAACGUUAAUCGGGGCAGGGUGAGUCGACCCCUAAGGCGAGGCCGAAAGGCGUAGUCGAUGGGAAACAGGUUAAUAUUCCUGUACUUGGUGUUACUGCGAAGGGGGGACGGAGAAGGCUAUGUUGGCCGGGCGACGGUUGUCCCGGUUUAAGCGUGUAGGCUGGUUUUCCAGGCAAAUCCGGAAAAUCAAGGCUGAGGCGUGAUGACGAGGCACUACGGUGCUGAAGCAACAAAUGCCCUGCUUCCAGGAAAAGCCUCUAAGCAUCAGGUAACAUCAAAUCGUACCCCAAACCGACACAGGUGGUCAGGUAGAGAAUACCAAGGCGCUUGAGAGAACUCGGGUGAAGGAACUAGGCAAAAUGGUGCCGUAACUUCGGGAGAAGGCACGCUGAUAUGUAGGUGAAGUCCCUUGCGGAUGGAGCUGAAAUCAGUCGAAGAUACCAGCUGGCUGCAACUGUUUAUUAAAAACACAGCACUGUGCAAACACGAAAGUGGACGUAUACGGUGUGACGCCUGCCCGGUGCCGGAAGGUUAAUUGAUGGGGUUAGCGGUAACGCGAAGCUCUUGAUCGAAGCCCCGGUAAACGGCGGCCGUAACUAUAACGGUCCUAAGGUAGCGAAAUUCCUUGUCGGGUAAGUUCCGACCUGCACGAAUGGCGUAAUGAUGGCCAGGCUGUCUCCACCCGAGACUCAGUGAAAUUGAACUCGCUGUGAAGAUGCAGUGUACCCGCGGCAAGACGGAAAGACCCCGUGAACCUUUACUAUAGCUUGACACUGAACAUUGAGCCUUGAUGUGUAGGAUAGGUGGGAGGCUUUGAAGUGUGGACGCCAGUCUGCAUGGAGCCGGCCUUGAAAUACCACCCUUUAAUGUUUGAUGUUCUAACGUUGGCCCCUGAUCGGGGUUGCGGACAGUGUCUGGUGGGUAGUUUGACUGGGGCGGUCUCCUCCUAAAGAGUAACGGAGGAGCACGAAGGUUGGCUAAUCCUGGUCGGACAUCAGGAGGUUAGUGCAAUGGCAUAAGCCAGCUUGACUGCGAGCGUGACGGCGCGAGCAGGUGCGAAAGCAGGUCAUAGUGAUCCGGUGGUUCUGAAUGGAAGGGCCAUCGCUCAACGGAUAAAAGGUACUCCGGGGAUAACAGGCUGAUACCGCCCAAGAGUUCAUAUCGACGGCGGUGUUUGGCACCUCGAUGUCGGCUCAUCACAUCCUGGGGCUGAAGUAGGUCCCAAGGGUAUGGCUGUUCGCCAUUUAAAGUGGUACGCGAGCUGGGUUUAGAACGUCGUGAGACAGUUCGGUCCCUAUCUGCCGUGGGCGCUGGAGAACUGAGGGGGGCUGCUCCUAGUACGAGAGGACCGGAGUGGACGCAUCACUGGUGUUCGGGUUGUCAUGCCAAUGGCACUGCCCGGUAGCUAAAUGCGGAAGAGAUAAGUGCUGAAAGCAUCUAAGCACGAAACUUGCCCCGAGAUGAGUUCUCCCUGACUCCUUGAGAGUCCUGAAGGAACGUUGAAGACGACGACGUUGAUAGGCCGGGUGUGUAAGCGCAGCGAUGCGUUGAGCUAACCGGUACUAAUGAACCGUGAGGCUUAACC
rnacentral:rRNA from 1 species